GGGUCACAUUUCAAUUUGAGAUUUGGAGGGGACAAAUAUUCAAACUAUAUUAAGUAGUAUGGACUCAAUCCAAUAUGACUGCUGUCCUUAUGAGAAGCAGAGAAGAGACACGGAGACAGACCCAGGAAGAAUGCUAUGAGGCAAUGGAGACAGUGAUUAAAGUGCUGUAUCAACAAGCAUUUACUGGCAACACCAGAAGCUAAAAGUAAGGCAUGGAACAGAUUUCUUCCCUGGAGCCUUCAGAAGGAGCAUGGCCCUGCCAAGACCUUGAUUUUGGACCUCUGACUUCCAGAACUUCUCACUCUGGAGUCCCUGCGCUGUGCUUCUGGGGCUUUGGGACUGUCUGGAACACAGCAGGAGGCAGCACCUUGUGGUGGUGAAGAAACUGAAGAAGAGAACUUAUGCUUCUAGAUGUUGCAGAAGCUUAAAUUCCGGUUGCCUGAGGCCUAGUCCAGGGGGUCGUGGCAGCAGCAGGCUGAGACCGAUAAGCCUCACCAGCCUCCUGAAGGGAAAAUGUUGGCUGGGUGCAGUGGCACACACCUGUAAUCCAAGCACUUUGGGAGGCCAAGGCAGGUUGAUUGCUUGAACCCAGGAGUAGGAGACCAGCCUGGGCAACAUAACGAAGUCUCACUCUGUCGCCAGGCUGGAGUGUAGUGGUGUGAUAGCUCGCUGCAACCUCCGCCUCCUGGGUUCAAGUGAUCCUUCUACCUCAGCCUCCCGAGUAGCUGGGACUACAGGCAUACACCACCAUGCCCAGCUAAUUUUUUGUACUUUUAGUAGAGAUGGGGUUUCACCAUGUUGGCCAGAAUGGUCUCAAUCUCCUGACCUCGUGAUUCGCCUGCCUCGGCCUCUCAAAGUGUUGGGAUUACAGGCGUGAGCCACUGUGCCCAGCUUCCUACUUUUUAAAAAACUAAAAAAUAUUUUUAAAUUUAAAUAAAUUAAAAAAUAGGCUUGGGUGCGGUGGCUCACACCUGUUGUCCCAGCUACUCGGGAGGCUGAAGCAGGAGAAUUGCCUGAACCUGGGAGGCAUAGGUUGCGGCAAGCCAAGACUGCGCCACUGCACUCCAGCCUGUGCGACAAAGCGGGGCUCCGU
rnacentral:lncRNA from 1 species